rnacentral:rRNA from 1 species
AUAGCGUAUAUUAAAGUUGUUGCCGUUAAAAAGCUCGUAGUCGAACUUCGGUCCCUGUCGGCCGGUCCGCCUUCUUGGUGUGUACUUGCUCGAUCGGGACUUACCUCCUGGUGAGCUGUGAUGUCCUUUACUGGGUGUCACAGGGAACCAGGACAUUUACUUUGAAAAAAUUAGAGUGUUCAAAGCAGGCCUACGCCCGAAUACAUUAGCAUGGAAUAAUAGAAUAGGACGCGCGUUCCCAUUUUGUUGGUUUCUGAGAUCGCCGUAAUGAUUAAUAGGGAUAGUUGGGGGCAUUUGUAUUCCGUCGUCAGAGGUGAAAUUCUUGGAUUGCCGGAAGACAAACUACUG